ACCGCGAUAGGUCAAGAUUCCUGGAAUGGAUCAUGGCCCAAAUCUAUAUGGCCCCUGGAUUGGACUGCGGCCGAUCAGGCUGUUGGUGGGGUAAUGGCCCACCAAACCUGUAACCGGUACGGGCUCUGAGAGGAGGAGCCCGGAGAUGGGCACUUAGACAAGGGCCCAGGCCCUAUGGGGCGCAGCAGGCGCGAAACCUCUGCAAUAAGCGAAAGCUUGACAGGGUUACUCUGAGUGAUUUCCGCUAAGGAAGUCUUUUGGCACCUCUAAAAAUGGUGCAGAAUAAGGGGUGGGCAAGUCUGGUGUCAGCCGCCGCGGUAAUACCAGCACCCCGAGUGGUCGGGACGAUUAUUGGGCCUAAAGCAUCCGUAGCCGGUCCUGCCAGUCCUCCGUUAAAUCCACCCGCUCAACGGUUGGGCCGCGGGGGAUACUACAGGGCUAGGAGGCGGGAGAGGCAAGCGGUACUCGAUGGGUAGGGGUAAAAUCCACUGAUCCAUUGAAGACCACCAGUGGCGAAGGCGGCUUGCCAGCACGCGCUCGACGGUGAGGGAUGAAAGCUGGGGGAGCAAACCGGAUUAGAUACCCGGGUAGUCCCAGCUGUAAACGAUGCAGACUCGGUGAUGGGUUGGCUUCGCGCUAACCCGGUGCCG
rnacentral:rRNA from 1 species